rnacentral:misc_RNA from 1 species
AACGCAAAUUGCGCUUUCGGGAUAGGCCUGGAAGCACGCCUCUUUGAGUAUCGAUUCCACCACAUUCACUAGUAUGCUUUGCAUAUUAGCGGAAACUGAGCCUUCAUUGUCGAAAGUCAAUGUGGCUUUAAAAGUGUUAAGUUCUGGCAGCCUUGUGAAGUCUGGCUUUAUGUCAGAUAGCUUUCGCUCAAAGGCAAGUUCAGUGUCGCUAGUGACGUGGAUAAUUUCGUAUCGUACGAAUCUUCCAAACGUGACUAGAGGAUGUUGAUGGUCUUUGUCGCUGGAAGUGAACGCACAGGCGCCAAUUUAAGAGCGAAUUCGAAGGUCUGAAAUGGCUUUCAACAUCUUGAAUUAGAUCUCAAAUGAAGCGAGAAAACCCGCUGAACUUAA